rnacentral:rRNA from 1 species
AGUGAACGCUGGCGGUAGGCCUAACACAUGCAAGUCGAACGGCAGCACAGUAAGAGCUUGCUCUUACGGGUGGCGAGUGGCGGACGGGUGAGGAAUACAUCGGAAUCUACUUUUUCGUGGGGGAUAACGUAGGGAAACUUACGCUAAUACCGCAUACGACCUACGGGUGAAAGCAGGGGAUCUUCGGACCUUGCGCGAUUGAAUGAGCCGAUGUCGGAUUAGCUAGUUGGCGGGGUAAAGGCCCACCAAGGCGACGAUCCGUAGCUGGUCUGAGAGGAUGAUCAGCCACACUGGAACUGAGACAAGGUCCAGACUCCUACGGGAGGCAGCAGUGGGGAAUAUUGGACAAUGGGCGCAAGCCUGAUCCAGACAUACCGCGUGGGUGAAGAAAGCCUUCGGGUUGUAAAGCCCUUUUGUUGGGAAAGAAAAGCAGCAGGUUAAUCCCCCGCUGUUCUGACGGUACCCAAAGAAUAAGCACCGGCUAACUUCGUG